rnacentral:rRNA from 1 species
GUCGGAUUAGGUAGUUGGUGGGGUAACGGCCUACCAAGCCUGUGAUCCGUAGCUGGUCUGAGAGGAUGAUCAGCCACACUGGGACUGAGACACGGCCCAGACUCCUACGGGAGGCAGCAGUGGGGAAUAUUGGACAAUGGGCGCAAGCCUGAUCCAGCAAUGCCGCGUGAGUGAUGAAGGCCUUCGGGUUGUAAAGCUCUUUCGCACGCGACGAUGAUGACGGUAGCGUGAGAAGAAGCCCCGGCUAACUUCGUGCCAGCAGCCGCGGUAAUACGAAGGGGGCGAGCGUUGUUCGGAUUUACUGGGCGUAAAGGGCGCGUAGGCGGCCGUUCAAGUCAGGCGUGAAAGCCCCGGGCUCAACCUGGGAAUUGCGCUUGGGACUGGGCGGCUGGAGUUCGGGAGAGGAGCGUGGAAUUCCCAGUGUAGAGGUGAAAUUCGUAGAUAUUGGGAAGAACACCGGUGGCGAAGGCGGCGCUCUGGACCGAUACUGACGCUGAGGCGCGAAAGCGUGGGGAGCA